UACGAAGGGGGCUAGCGUUGCUCGGAAUUACUGGGCGUAAAGCGUGCGUAGGCGGAUAAUUAAGUCGAAGGUGAAAUCCUGAAGCUCAACUUCAGAAUUGCCUUCGAUACUGGUUAUCUAGGAUUCGAGAGAGGUGAGUGGAAUUCCGAGUGUAGAGGUGGAAUUCGUAGAUAUUCGGAGGAACACCAGUGGCGAAGGCGGCUCACUGGAUCGACAUCGACGCUGAGGUACGAAAGCGUGGGGAUCAAACAGG
rnacentral:rRNA from 1 species